CCUACGGGUGGCAGCAGUGGGGAAUAUUGGACAAUGGGGGGAACCCUGAUCCAGCGACGCCGCGUGAGUGAAGAAGUAUUUCGGUAUGUAAAGCUCUAUCAGCAGGGAAGAAAGAAAUGACGGUACCUGACUAAGAAGCCCCGGCUAACUACGUGCCAGCAGCCGCGGUAAUACGGAGGGGGCAAGCGUUAUCCGGAUUUACGGGGUGUAAAGGGAGCGUAGACGGCGAUGCAAGUCUGAAGUGAAAGGCGGGGGCCCAACCCCCGGACUGCUUUGGAAACUGUAUGGCUGGAGUGCAGGAGAGGUAAGUGGAAUUCCUAGUGUAGCGGUGAAAUGCGUAGAUAUUAGGAGGAACACCAGUGGCGAAGGCGGCUUACUGGACAGUAACUGACGUUGAGGCUCGAAAGCGUGGGGAGCAAACAGGAUUAGAUACCCGUGUAGUC
rnacentral:rRNA from 1 species